CACACAGAGAGAGAGAGAGAGGAAUGGAACAAAGCACCAGGCUAAUGUCUUUUCCUUGGUCGAUCAGCUCAAACAGACCCUCCAAAAAUCAAAAUAGAUGAACUGCAUCCACAGAACAGACCCUGGCAGAAACACAGAUAUCGUGCAAAAGAGAAAGCCAGGCUUGAAAAUCUUCCAGGAAAUAAACACAAGAAAAUUCAGGCAGAGGGAGAGAGAGAGAGAGAGAUAAGGGAAAAAGAGAGAGAAAACCCUGAUGUCAUUGAGCCCAGGGCAGGAUCAUGUUUUAUUUAUCCACCUCCUUAAAGCGAGGGCGUCUCAUCUUGCAGCUCUUAACAGGAGCUCCUCCAUUCUUUGCCCCUUUCCUGAACGAUCAGACUAUGGGUUUGCAGUUGCUGGACUUCACCAGAGCAGUGUGACACUGAAGGGGAGGCACAGCUUUACCCUCUCGGAUGACCCAAUGCUGUGAAAGCCACGCCUCGUUGGCACACCGAGUAGGGGUUUGAACAAUCCCGUGUUUAAUAUUGCGGCUCUUAAAGCGCACGCCGGGCGGAUCGAUUUCGGCUCAAGAUUCAACAACCAUCUGCAUUUAUGGAAUGCCUUUAAUGUCAUAAAGCAAGAUGGUACUGCAAGAAAGAAAAUUUGGAUUUCAAGAUUUUCCUCAUCCUGGAUGAUGUGCCAAGCCAUCCAUCCAGCAUUGGCGAGAUUCCUGAAACCCUAUGAACAGCUGUUUCAUGAAAGAAGAAAAAGAGCAAAGCAUCAAAAACUGGAUGUCUUUUUUAAGCCAACCGCCAAGAAACAGUCAGAAGACAAUGACCCAUAGCCACUCACUUCUGAAUUAAUUAUUUUUCACCCUAACCCUUCAACCACAAAUGUAACUGAAGGUGAUGAGGAUGAUGGUGGUGACCCUCAGUCCCUGCAUUAACAACAGAGCAACCUCAAAACUUCCUCCCCUAUCAAGUCAUCUGCAGAUUUUUU